UCCGGCUUAUCACCGGCAGUCCCCUUAGAGUGCCCAACUAAAUGAUGGCAACUAAGGGCGAGGGUUGCGCUCGUUGCGGGACUUAACCCAACAUCUCACGGCACGAGCUGACGACAGCCAUGCACCACCUGCACAGAAGUCCCUUGCGGGAGGCGCUCACUUUCGAGAGCGUUUCCUCUGCAUGUCAAGCCCAGGUAAGGUUCUUCGCGUUGCGUCGAAUUGAACCACAUGCUCCACCGCUUGUGCGGGCCCCCGUCAAUUCCUUUGAGUUUUAGCCUUGCGGCCGUACUCCCCAGGCGGGGCACUUAAUGCGUUAGCUCCGGCACGGGAGGAGUCGACACCUCCCACACCUAGUGCCCAUCGUUUACGGCGUGGACUAC
rnacentral:misc_RNA from 1 species